ACCUGGCUGGCUCAGUGGGUAAAGCACGAGACUCUUGAUCUUGGGGUUGUGAGUUUGAGCCCCACGUUGGGUG
rnacentral:tRNA from 1 species